GGAGAAAGGAAGAAUUUCCAACAUGGUUGGACAGACAAGAUUCCCAUGAGAUUUCAGGAUUCUACUUAAAGCAGGGCACACAUGGAAACUCAGGAAUUACCUAUAUUGAAUACUUUAAUGGACAUGCUCCAUGUAAUCCUUUUUUGGUCUGUGGUUGAGAAUAGGACUGAGAGAAAACCCAGACCUCUUUCCCACUCCAUGGCUCCCAGGAAACUACAAAGACAAGAACUGCCAAGACAGGGUCCUGUAUGCUUGGAUAUAAUGUAAGUAUUUACAUUGCCCAAAUCAACACCCAAAUCAACAAAGCAGGAGGUAAGGAUCACUGA
rnacentral:lncRNA from 1 species